rnacentral:lncRNA from 1 species
GAAAUUGAAAACCCAAGCAAAGGCAUGCAAAUAUAUCAAAUCAUACCAAACUCACAAUGGGAUACCUUGCCAUGUUUGUAUUUAUGAUGGUGGGAGCUCUAUAUGUAGGAUACUCUCCUUUCUCGGUCGAAGUGCAGGCAGGAUGGAGUUGAGAAGAGCCCUGCAAAGCCCUUUGACAGACAACCUUCAACUGCACAUGGAGACUUGGAGGAACUCAAUGGGCUAUGUUUUACUAUUUCCAUGCAGUCAUCAGUAGC